rnacentral:lncRNA from 1 species
AGAACGGCGCUGCAGGGCAAAGCCGCCGCCACUUCUUUGCUGCUCUGGCAGAAAGGUCGGAGCCUGGGACUGAUGGGGGUGGGAGCAAAGCCAGCAGGCUUCUUGGCCCCCGCAGUCUGUCCUCGCUGUUCUCCAUGCAGCACACGUCGGACCCAUUUCCCACGCUGGCUUGGCUCCGCCGCGAAGUUGGUAGGAAUGAGAGUGAGGAGGGCGGGCUGGAGACUUCCUCCCGCUCGCAAAGAGGAAACCACUCCACUGUGAAGGACGCGCUGCAACUCCCUAGUCAUCCGGGAAGAAAUGUGCAGCGCGCUGAGGAAAAGCCGCCCACUCCUUCGCGCCCCGCUCAAGUGUGCGCCUGGAGAGUGCGCGCCAGAGCCGCGAGCAAAUGCUUUGAAGAUGCGGAGAGGCUUAUUCAAGUUUAUGGUCUGGAGAGGGAAGAGGGAGUGCACAACGUUUCUGCCCAAGCGGCUGCCUGAAGUUUGCAAAAUCUUAGUAAGGCGAUGAGGGGAGUGAGUGCACUGCACCAUAUUGCCGCGCAUCGGAAUGCACGGCGCAAGGCCGCGGAGUGGAGACGGCUUCUCCCAUUUGCCUCCAACCUGGGAAAAAGGGGAACCAGGGUCGGAGGUUUGGAGAGAGGCAGGCGUUCCGAUAAACCCGGGUUCUUGCCAAAUGUAAGAGGGAUUUGGCUUUACUGCCACUUAGCCGGCCGCGAAGGCGCUGCGGAGCCCACCCCCGCCCCCGGCUCGAGACUGCGGCGGUGCGCACUGAGCCUGCGCGCGGGGCUUUUCUCGCUGAUGCUGCAGAUACAGAGCUGAGAGGUUCGGGUGCCAGCAGCGGGAGGGUUAGCGGGAAGGCCGGGUUCCCUGCCCUGGCCUCGGAGGAGGAGCCACCACCCCUGGGGUGAUGCUACUUUCACAGACUGGAAAAUACUCGCCAGCUCCCUGACACACACUUAGACACACUUCCAUCCAACGGGCAUCUACGAUCCCCUGUAGGGAGAGCUUGGAAAUCUCUGCCGCCUCUCCCUCCUCAUUCCUGUUCCUGCGCCCGCCCAAACAACCGCGCGCUACAUCUGCUCGUUGACUUUAUUGGUGUUUGUCUUGUUUAAAUCAUUCUGCCUCGUCACCCAGGUCUCGUAAAGAAUACCCACACUGGACAGAUUUUAUUUUUUCGGCUUUAAAUUUUUCUUUGAGGGGAGGCCCUUAAAUGUGUAUGGAUACGUCAGGCGAGCUGAAGACUAAGCAAAUCCCAGCAGCGGCCCUUUCUCUCUUUCGAGAUGGUAAAAAUUCUCCCCAAAUACCUACAGUCCGUCUCAGUCGUCUUAAUCCUAGCCGGGCCUCUUCGUUUACAGCCACUGAAAUAAAUGAGUAAAUGGCUCAGUUCAAAAACACAACCAGACCUGAGAUCUGAUGAGGCCGGCUGCGGUGGUCGUGAAUGAAAAUUGGAGAAGCCUUGCUUCAGGAAAUAGGGACAGUCAAGGGACACAAAGUCAAAAGGAGAGAUGGGAAAGCUGGGGACACUUUGGUACACAAAGUUGCCAUUAAAGUUUAUUUCCCUUUUA